rnacentral:rRNA from 1 species
GACGAACGCUGGCGGCGUGCUUAACACAUGCAAGUCGAACGGAAAGGCCCUGCUUUUGUGGGGUGCUCGAGUGGCGAACGGGUGAGUAACACGUGAGUAACCUGCCCUUGACUUUGGGAUAACUUCAGGAAACUGGGGCUAAUACCGGAUAGGAGCUCCUGCUGCAUGGUGGGGGUUGGAAAGUUUCGGCGGUUGGGGAUGGACUCGCGGCUUAUCAGCUUGUUGGUGGGGUAGUGGCUUACCAAGGCUUUGACGGGUAGCCGGCCUGAGAGGGUGUCCGGCCACAUUGGGACUGAGAUACGGCCCAGACUCCUACGGGAGGCAGCAGUGGGGAAUAUUGCACAAUGGGCGGAAGCCUGAUGCAGCAACGCCGCGUGCGGGAUGACGGCCUUCGGGUUGUAAACCGCUUUCGCCUGUGACGAAGCGUGAGUGACGGUAAUGGGUAAAGAAGCACCGGCUAACUACGUGCCAGCAGCCGCGGUGAUACGUAGGGUGCGAGCGUUGUCCGGAUUUAUUGGGCGUAAAGGGCUCGUAGGUGGUUGAUCGCGUCGGAAGUGUAAUCUUGGGGCUUAACCCCUGAGCGUGCUUUCAAUACGGGUUGACUUGAGGAAGGUAGGGGAGAAUGGAAUUCCUGGUGGAGCGGUGGAAUGCGCAAAUAUCAGGAGGAACACCAGUGGCGAAGGCGGUUCUCUGGGCCUUUCCUGACGCUGAGGAGCGAAAGCGUGGGGAGCGAACAGGCUUAGAUACCCUGGUAGUCCACGCUGUAAACGGUGGGUACUAGGUGUGGGGUCCAUUCCACGGGUUCCGUGCCGUAGCUAACGCUUUAAGUACCCCGCCUGGGGAGUACGGCCGCAAGGCUAAAACUCAAAGGAAUUGACGGGGCCCCGCACAAGCGGCGGAGCAUGCGGAUUAAUUCGAUGCAACGCGUAGAACCUUACCUGGGUUUGACAUGGAUCGGGAGUGCUCAGAGAUGGGUGUGCCUCUUUUGGGGUCGGUUCACAGGUGGUGCAUGGCUGUCGUCAGCUCGUGUCGUGAGAUGUUGGGUUAAGUCCCGCAACGAGCGCAACCCUUGUUCACUGUUGCCAGCACGUUAUGGUGGGGACUCAGUGGAGACCGCCGGGGUCAACUCGGAGGAAGGUGGGGAUGACGUCAAGUCAUCAUGCCCCUUAUGUCCAGGGCUUCACGCAUGCUACAAUGGCUGGUACAGAGAGUGGCGAGCCUGUGAGGGUGAGCGAAUCUCGGAAAGCCGGUCUCAGUUCGGAUUGGGGUCUGCAACUCGACCUCAUGAAGUCGGAGUCGCUAGUAAUCGCAGAUCAGCAACGCUGCGGUGAAUACGUUCCCGGG